GACGAACGCUGGCGGCGUGCUUAACACAUGCAAGUCGAACGGAAAGGCCCUGCUUUUGUGGGGUGCUCGAGUGGCGAACGGGUGAGUAACACGUGAGUAACCUGCCCUUGACUUUGGGAUAACUUCAGGAAACUGGGGCUAAUACCGGAUAGGAGCUCCUGCUGCAUGGUGGGGGUUGGAAAGUUUCGGCGGUUGGGGAUGGACUCGCGGCUUAUCAGCUUGUUGGUGGGGUAGUGGCUUACCAAGGCUUUGACGGGUAGCCGGCCUGAGAGGGUGACCGGCCACAGUGGGGCUGAGAGACGGACGAGACGCAGACGGGAGCAACCACGGGGGGUGGGGGAUGAAGGGGCGGGUGCCUCACGCAGCUACGCCGCGUGCGGGAGGGCGGCUGGCGGGGUGGAGACAGGUUUCGCCUGCGACGUAGCUGCAGGCACGGGAAGUAGUAAAGAGACGCCCCCCAGCUACGUC
rnacentral:rRNA from 1 species